UGUUUCUUUUUUUUUAUAUAGGAUUCUGGACACAAUCAUUAAGACUUACAUAAAUUGUACAUAAAAACUUGAAAACUAUGUAUACAAUAUGCAUUUGUAGGAAAUAUUGUUUUAUAUAUAAAUAAAGAGAAUUUCAAUAUAGAAAAUACAUAAUUAACAAAGAAUAUAAAAAAGUGCAUAUAAAAAUUGGUAAGCUACAAACAAAUGACGAAACAUGAAGAGACUCGUGUAAUGAAUUAAAAUAACAUUAACGUUUUCCGCAUUAUAAACGUUAAACACAACGCAAAAAAGUCGUAAAAUUUAAUGCGAUUAAUUUUGGAAAUACGACAUGGAACGAUUUGCUACAAAUUUGAUGAGCUUUUAAGCGAGCACGAGAGAUAAGAAUUAUAGCUUUCUAUCGAAUCUUACAGGUCGUAAAAGAAUCGUAGUUAAAACGUUGAUAAUCCCAUCAAGAAUUUCUUUAAACGAUGAUGUGACGUAUUGGAAUGUUAAUUCGAGAUAAUUUGCGUGAUCGUCGUUAUAUUCUUCAUCCAAGAAAUAAUCGUAUAUCACAGUUAAUAAGAAGACACUAUUUGUGAUCCCCACAAAUUUUAAUAUUGUUUGUUCAGUUUGUCCGAACAAUUUAUAAGGAGAACUCGGCAGUCGGGCUUCACCGAUUUUAAUAAAAUUUUAUGGGGUGUUGCAGAUACAUACAAAGCAGUAUGACGGGUUGCGCGGAAAAUUUUGCACAAGCAGAGGCGGACGUGACUUACAAGGAAAAAUUCCGAGGUGUCUUCCUCCAAUGUUGUUGAGUCUUUAAUAUGUUGUAGUACAGAUAAAAAUAGGGGUCAGAUAUUUUUUUUAUACGUGCCCAUAUGCACUUUUAGUGGGUGAAACGGGUGAUAUCUGUUUGGAUACACCUCGACUGGACACCAACCAAUCAUCUUGACUUAUCAAACCCAACUAACAAAAAAACUCUAUGCAUCGGUCGCUGUGAGUGGUGGUGUCCAAUUGGUCCCGUGUCCAAACGGGAUCCGCACCCGGGUGAAACACCUCUUUGAAGAAAAUCGCUUUUCUUCUUUUGAAACGUAUAUCGUUGGUACUAUAGAAGAUAGAAACAAAUGUUUUAAUUGAAAGUUGAAUGGC